UAUGAACGCUGGCGGCGUGGAUUAGGCAUGCAAGUCGAACGCGAAAGCGGGGGCAACUCCGCGAGUAGAGUGGCGAAAGGGUGAGUAAUGCUUGGAUGACCUGCCUUCGAGACGGGGACAACAGCCCGAAAGGGCUGCUAAUACCCGAUGGCCCGCAUCGGAUGCGUCCGGUGCGGUAAAUGGUUUAUUCCGCUCGAUGAGGGGUCCAAGUCCUAUCAGCUAGUUGGUGAGGUCAUGGCUCACCGAGGCGAUGACGGGUAGCCGGACUGAGAGGUUGGCCGGCCACAUGGGAACUGAGACACUGUCCUGACUCCUACGGGAGGCUGCAGUCGAGAAUCUUCUGCAAUGGGCGAAAGCCUGACAGAGCGACGCCGCGUGGAGGACGAAGGCCCUCGGGUUGUAAACUCCUGUCACACGUUAAGAAACGCGUGGGUAACCAUGCCUGACAAAAGCGUGAGAGGAAGUCACGGCUAACUUCGUGCCAGCAGCC
rnacentral:rRNA from 1 species